rnacentral:rRNA from 1 species
AUUGAACGCUGGCGGCACGCCUUACACAUGCAAGUCGAACGGCAGCACGGGUGCUUGCCCCUGGUGGCGAGUGGCGAACGGGUGAGUAAUACAUCGGAACAUGUCCUGUAGUGGGGGAUAGCCCGGCGAAAGCCGGAUUAAUACCGCAUACGAUCCACGGAUGAAAGCGGGGGACCUUCGGGCCUCGCGCUAUAGGGUUGGCCGAUGGCUGAUUAGCUAGUUGGUGGGGUAAAGGCCUACCAAGGCGACGAUCAGUAGCUGGUCUGAGAGGACGACCAGCCACACUGGGACUGAGACACGGCCCAGACUCCUACGGGAGGCAGCAGUGGGGAAUUUUGGACAAUGGGCGAAAGCCUGAUCCAGCAAUGCCGCGUGUGUGAAGAAGGCCUUCGGGUUGUAAAGCACUUUUGUCCGGAAAGAAAUCCUUGACUCUAAUACAGUCGGGGGAUGACGGUACCGGAAGAAUAAGCACCGGCUAACUACGUG